rnacentral:rRNA from 1 species
GAUGAACGCUGGCGGCGUGCCUAAUACAUGCAAGUCGAGCGAAUAGACGAGGAGCUUGCUCCUCUGACGUUAGCGGCGGACGGGUGAGUAACACGUGGAUAACCUACCUAUAAGACUGGGAUAACUUCGGGAAACCGGAGCUAAUACCGGAUAAUAUAUUGAACCGCAUGGUUCAAUAGUGAAAGACGGUUUUGCUGUCACUUAUAGAUGGAUCCGCGCCGCAUUAGCUAGUUGGUAAGGUAACGGCUUACCAAGGCAACGAUGCGUAGCCGACCUGAGAGGGUGAUCGGCCACACUGGAACUGAGACACGGUCCAGACUCCUACGGGAGGCAGCAGUAGGGAAUCUUCCGCAAUGGGCGAAAGCCUGACGGAGCAACGCCGCGUGAGUGAUGAAGGUCUUCGGAUCGUAAAACUCUGUUAUUAGGGAAGAACAAAUGUGUAAGUAACUGUGCACGUCUUGACGGUACCUAAUCAGAAAGCCACGGCUAACUACGUG